rnacentral:rRNA from 1 species
UACGUAGGGUGCGAGCGUUGUCCGGAAUUAUUGGGCGUAAAGGGCGCGUAGGCGGUUUGACAAGUCUGAUGUGAAAUCUAUGGGCUCAACCCAUAGCCUGCAUUAGAAACUGUCGGGCUUGAGUAUGGGAGAGGUGAGUGGAAUUUCCGGUGUAGCGGUGAAAUGCGUAGAUAUCGGAAGGAACACCUGUGGCGAAAGCGGCUCACUGGACCAUAACUGACGCUGAGGCGCGAAAGCUAGGGGAGCAAACAGG